GAUUUAACAAGCAAGAAGCCAACAACUGCAAGUAGAUGUAAAACACCAACAGACGAUGCAUUUGACUCUACAGGAAGAAAGAAUGCAGCCAACAGAAACAGACCAUCUCUAAGGAAAGGGAGAACAAAGACCAAGAAGACAUCUUCAGGUAGAAGAAGCAGUACUGAUGCAGCCAAUAUAGUGACAACUCCAUCACUAAGGUCUAGUUCAUGAGUCUCAAAAGUGAAAUUUGUUGGAAAAAGUGUAAAAAACACCAGUGGAUAAUUGAUGCAGCAACAGAUCAACGUGAAUGGUAUAAGGGUACAGUGUUGAGUGUUAUUUCUGGUGUUAACGGUGAGGACAAUGGAGUUUAUGAAGUUAUAUAUCAAGGAGAGCAAGAACCGGUCGAAGUUGACCAUUUGCUUGAGGACCUCCGAUCUUCAUCCUUGAUAUUUAUUGACGUUUAAAAGUGA